CACUGCUGUAUUGCACAUACACAUACGCACACGUAUACAGACGGGCACACAUACGUGCAUAUAUAUAUACAUAUAUGCGCUUCUUAUGAUUGUGUGGCUGUUGCUGCUGUUCUCCCUCUCUCGACCUUCUCCUUCUUGUCGUCUGUACUGCUGUGUCGGUGUGCUGUUGGACGGGCCCGCAAAAUAGGCCGAGCAACGGAACUUGUCGGACCAUUGCAUCUGGAAGCGAAGCAGCAGGGGAGGGGGCACCGCCAAAGGCUAUGCGACCGGUUGUGCGACUCUCCCGCCUUCGCACGGUUGCUUCCGUCCUUAUUGACCCUCGCCAUCACCAAGGAUGAGCUUUCUCUUCAAGGCUGUAUUGGGGCAGCGCGUGGUGCACCCACCUCCUCCGGAGAGUGACAAAAAGUCGCACGUGGCGGCAAACGGGGUAUGCGACACCAAGUCGUCAGCGAUACUUGCCACGAAGCCGGCGAACGCAUCGUUGGUCAACAACGGAGCUCACGGCAAGAUCUCUGCACCAAAGCCGAGUGGUAACGCUGCGGCGUCACCUUCCUUGCGUGCCGGGCCAUCCGUCACCGCAUCCGCGUCCUUGGCGGGGCCGCAGUCAACGCUUUUCUCAUCCUCGCCGUCGCCGCCGCCGCGGCCCAGCACACCAACGCGGACGCUGCUUCUGCGCAUUGAGGGCUGCACAGUGGCGCAGGAUAUCCGUGACGCGCAGCGCGACCUGCUGCGCUGCCCUGACCUCCCAUACGCGCUAGAUGCAACGUCGCUGAAGUCGCUGCUCGAUUUGCUUGCCAGUUACGCCGAUGAGGAGUCGAUUACGGAGCCGACGCUGCAUCUUCUCGCCAACGCCACGGACUUGGACUUGUACCCUGACGAACUGGAGUCGAACCGUCGUGUCGUCAAAGUCAACGCGGCGGCCAAGCGGCAAGCGAGGGAUGCGCUGCUCCAGCCGCUCUUCGAUGCGGUGCCACUGUUGCUAGACUCGAUGAAAACAACAGCGCCAUUUUGGAGCCGCUACUAUGUCGUCGUCCUGCUUCAGCGGCUGGAGGAGUUGGAGCCGUAUAAGCUUAAUCAGUCCCUGCUUGGCGCCCGCGGCAUCGGCGUUUUGCUCGACGCGUUGAACGAGGAUGAGCACGAUUUCCUGCUGCGUAAUCAGGCUUUGGUGCUUCUCACAUCGCUGACCUUGGCCGAUGCGGAGCUUCAGACCCUUCUGGCCUUCCACAACGCCUUCGACUCGCUCUUUGAUGUGAUCCAGCGUGAGGGCGGUGUACGGCAUGGCAGAUCCAUUGUGCAGGACUGUCUGACGGUGGUGCACAACAUACUCCGCUCGAACAAGGCAACCCAGAAGUUCUUUCGCGAAAUGGGCUGUGCUGCACGGCUGGCGGCCCUGUUCGACUCCGUCCCAUCUGAGCUGGCGGCAUGCACGCUCGUGGAUGAGAGCCGCAGCGGCGGCGACGGCAGCUCUGCAGGCUCCGUAUUUCCCCAAACGAGAGUGUUGACCGAGAAGCUGGAGGCACUCCUCGACGUUACUAGGACUUCCGAGUCGAUGCUAAACUUGCUCAUGUCCGUUUCCAUUCUCGCAUGCGUCCUGCGCGGCGUCGACGAGGGCGAGGAAGAGCGACACUCCACGCAAGACGCCCUCCUUCGAUGCGGUCUUCUGACUUCGCUCGCUCGCCUCGCGUUCAGCGGGCUGCUCAUCGACGACGCCACCCGAAUCGAAGCAGUGCGGGUGCUGGCGUUGCUGCUGAGAGACUCCCGGCGAGCGGUGGAAGAAUGGCUGAACCUCCCGCCGGUCACAACUCUCGUCCGAGCCACUCUGCCUUACACAGUGCAGGUGUGGCCGGCUCCGCGCGCGCUGCUCGCAUACGUUUGCGAGACAACUGACACAACGCUCGUCAGUGCUGGCGUGCAGCUCUUCACGGCGGUGCUGAGCGUGCCUGCCUGCCAAGAGCGCUCGGUUGGCGUGCUUCUGAGCGGGUUGGUGUCGCCGCCUCUGGAGCGUGGUUAUGGCCACGGCGGCCAUGAAGCAGUACAGACGUGGGCUAACACGACGUCACUCCCCAGCAGUCUCAGUGCGGGCAACGCCAGCGCCGCCAAUACGGAUGCGCAGUGUGGCGCGGCGCUUGCGCGGGUGCUGCUCUCGUCGCGAACGUCAGCUGUAGAGAAGUUCUACACCGCCCAGGUGCUGCGCGCGCUGGUUGCGGUGCCUGGCGCCACUCCAGUGCUCCAGGACCUCGUGAACGCACCGGUGCCGCCGCACCUGCAGACGUCGACGCUGGACGGUCUUGUCAAGGCGCAGCCGGGAUGGACGCUGUCCUCCCGCCUGCCGCCCUCCUUCUUUAACUACACCGUCACCUUCGUGCUUUUGUGCCUCGGCGGCGGUGCGGCUGCACAGCAGGUGAACACGGCGGCUCUCGGUGCCUAUGUUGGGGCGCUGCUAGAGUGGAUGGGCUCUUCUCCCGUGGCGGCUGCCGCGUUUGUCGAGGAAGUGUCAUGGGGUGAGACGCUGCUUCACCAGGCCCGCCGCGACGGCGCCGCCCAUCUUCGGUUGUGGUCAGCGGUGCUAGUCGCUAGUGCCUGUGUCGUGUCAACGACAGCGACGACCGCCGCUGCCGCCCCACCCACAGCCGCGGCGGCCGCAACAGCUCUCACGCGCCGGUUUCUGCAGAUGGUGGGUGGAGGGGCGGCUCUUGACACGAUCCUCUUUGACCUGAAAGCCAGCACGCCGGUGUGGCAACACCCUGUGGCGAGCGGGCUGCGAACACAGAAUCCCACCCCGUACGAUGAGGCUAUUGUGGGUCUGGUGGAGCAGCUUGUGGCGAACUUCAAGCAGCUCUUGGACAGCGUUGCGGGGUCUGCGUCGCAGAUGGCACGUGCGACGAUGACGCUGCGGCCGUCCAUACACUCUGCACAGCAGCAGCCCGAUGAUGCGCAGACGGAAUACCGAGUAGCGUCAGAGCCGGUUGCAUCGCCGCCGCCGCCGAGGGAGGCGGGUCCGUUGGCAUCGAUGCAGCCGCCACCUUCUAGCCCAGCCGUUGCGUCGCUGGGAAGCUUGGGGCACAGCAGUAUGCCGUCUGGCGACUUCCGGGCUGAGCCUUCUCUACCACAGCCUCUGGCUGCCCCACUGAACCCGGUAGGGGCCCCUCUUGUGGCAGACGCGCACGCGCGCGACAUGGUGGCUGCGCUGCAAGCGGAGCUCGAGGCCACCCGUACGGAGAAGGUGAACCUCACGAACGCACUGGCAGAGUGGCGCGAACGGGCUGAGCAGACCGCUGCACAGUGCGCUGCCCUGGAGGAGGAGCAGCAGAGGCGUGCCGCCGCGGCCGCGGAAGAAGAGCGCAUUCGACUGGAGGAUGCGGCUACGUCGACAGCGGAGGCCGCGCACUCGCACGCCUUAUCGGCUGAGGUGGUCGAAGAACUUCGCGAGAACAUUCGGCUGCUCGAAGAGGCACUGAGCUCGAAGGAAGAGGAGCAUCAGCAACUGGUGGAGUCGCUGAACAUGAUGGAAGAGCAGCUGCGGCACGUUUCAAAUGCCACAGCGGCCGCUGCCUCCCAGCAGCGACAACAUCAGCAAGAGCAGCAGCAUCUUCCACCACCGGAUGUGAUUGCUGCGAUGAAGGCGGAGCGCAAUGCGGUGGUCGAGCAGCUUGCGCUAUCACAACAGGAGACUGCACGACUGCAGCAUGCUCUGCAAGGCGUCAGUAGCGACUACAGCGAAUUGCUGCUCCUCGUAGCCGAGCUCAACGAGGAGUGCGUGUCGGCGAAGGCAGGCUCGUCCAUAGCAGACACGCCGGCACGGCCGUGGCCGGAGGAUGCCGGGCUCAGUCUGAAAAGGGUGGUUGAGGCGCCUCCAGAGCCGGCCGUCUACGACGGUGCCAUGAGGGACGAAACCAUCUUCACUAGUGCGGAGGUGCUAUCUGGAACGGCUGCUACACAGCAGCCUGUGCAGUGGGAGGGCACGAUGGAUACUGCGGCAACUGGCAUGCUCAAAGUGCCAGGGCAAGAACCGGUGCCCACCACACCGGCGUCGGCCCCGGUCUUGGCUAUCGGGAGACAGACGAGUGUGGAUGCAAACGGCAGGCCUGGUGGGCCCAUGGACGCCUAUGAAGAGGCGACGGAUGUCACGAUUCACCCUUCGGACGCGAGAGCUCCUGCGCAAGCUUUCGCGGCCCCCCUACCGGUCCAGCAGUCGAUUCCGCUGUCGGUAGCGCCAGCCAAUGCAUUUCCGAUUUCCAGCCUAGCUGUAUCGCAGACGGAAGCAACACCGCCUUCGCUUGCCCCUCCGUCGCGACCCGACGGACAGCAACAGCAACAUGCAGACCGGCCGCCGCCCCCUCCAGCAAGCCAUACCCCUCCUCCAUUGCCACCGCCACCGCCACCGCCCACAAUGGCGCACACCCACCCCUUUCAGCGGUCUGGGCUGCAAGCCCCUCGCUACCCUGACCCGCCCACCAUCUUCUUCGUUGGUGGAGACGGCGCUCCUGUAGCGGCGCAGCCGCCCCAACAUUCCGUCUCCAGCGCUGGUGGCGAGCAGCGCUCGCGCGACGGAAGACCACCGCCGCCACCCAAAGAUCUGCCGCCGCCGGCCGCGUUGUGUUCGCCUCAGCUAAGUGCGCUGUCGCAUCGCUUUUCAGCACCGAGGGUUCAGUCUGCUUUCCUUGCCAAGGACUCACCGCGGAAUUCUGACCCCGUGGUGAGGCAGCAGAAAGACGGACUGGUGGACGGUACAGUGCAUGACUCUGCGAGAGUGGUGCCGCCGUGGGCCUCUCAAAGUAUGCAGGAGGCAUCAGUGACCGACAACAUGUCGGCGUCCAGGUAUAAUACCCCCAACAUUUCAGCUACGCACCAUUCUGCGCAACUGUGUGCAGAGGGCGCACCGGCUGCUGCUGUGUUCACCACCUCCGGCGCUGCUCUUCAGAAUCCUUUCUUGGCCGGCGCUGGAAGUCCCGAGAAUGACCCAUUCGCGAUGGUGGGUGGCGACGACACGCUUCUCGGAAGCGGCGGAGAGCUGGAGAUGGGAGGAGGGGGAGCCAGGGACCGUGGUGCAGCUCGCUGGACCACGAGGGAGCCGUGCUUAUCGACAAACGCACCACCGAAGCCACAAACUGCCGCGGCGCCGAGCAACAGCGCAGGGAGCACAAGCGAGGCAUCUCCUCGUGGUGUAGCUGAGACCGAGUCUCUCGAGGCGAACAACCCAAGCAGUACUCCUACAACGGCCUACAACCCGUUUACGGACGUCAACACCAGCGGCGAUGAAGCAGACGACGAUUUCGGUGGCCUGCGCUAAUGGCUUCGAGAAAAGGACGUAGUCUCGGCGAGGGGGUCUUUCUCUCUCUGGUCUGUCUGUAUCGUCCUCGGCGGACCCUGCGAAUGCCCAUCGUACGAGUCGAGAGGAGCGGCUCGUGAUGUUUCGAGGACUGCAUACGCAGAUCCGUUUUCUAGCGAUGCAUUUGCGCGUCAUGGGCUGCCUUUUUUUUUUUCGCGCGCGUGUGUCUGUGCGGGUGGGUGGGUGGAGGCGUGCGUGCUGUCCACUUUUGUUGUGGUCGUGUUUGUGUGUAAGUCACUCUCGGAAGAGAGCAGCCAGUAGUAAACAUGUCGCGAUUUCCCGCUGCCUUGUGGGGCGCUACUGUCUCUGUCUGGUACUUUGUCGAGCUUGUUGUUUGACGUUGCUGACGCCGUAGAUUCAUGGCGGGCGUGCUACUUCUACUUGACAAGCUCCCACUGUCAUUCAUCACUGCGCUUCCACUGCCUUUCUCAUUUCCCGUGUGUUCCUACACCCCCUCCCCUGCCCUUUUUUUUGUUGUUCCCCUACUUCUGUAAUGUUUCAUCUACGCACAGCUGUGUGCGUUUCACAGCCAUUGGUCUGAGCCCGUUUUUUGGUGUAGAGCACACACAGAGG
rnacentral:misc_RNA from 1 species